AGCUCCUUGUUGGAGAAGCAGGGCACGUGCAGAUUUGCCUCACUUUUCCCCCUUUUUUCUUCUUUACUCCCACCACCGCCCACAGGCUUGCACGUGCUCCCCUUCUCCAACAUGGGUUC
rnacentral:pre_miRNA from 11 species